GACGGAGGGUGCUAGCGUUGUUCGGAAUUACUGGGCGUAAAGCGUGCGCAGGCGGUUGUGCAAGACCGAUGUGAAAUCCCCGGGCUUAACCUGGGAAUUGCAUUGGUGACUGCACGGCUAGAGUGUGUCAGAGGGGGGUAGAAUUCCACGUGUAGCAGUGAAAUGCGUAGAGAUGUGGAGGAAUACCGAUGGCGAAGGCAGCCCCCUGGGAUAACACUGACGCUCAUGCACGAAAGCGUGGGGAGCAAACAGG
rnacentral:rRNA from 1 species